GAUGAACGCUAGCGACAUGCCUAAUACAUGCAAGUCGAGCGAACGCACCAGAAACUUCCUUCUCUGAUGUUACCGCCGGCCGGGCAAGUAACACGUAGGUAACCUACCUCUAAGACUGGGUUAAGAUCAAGCAACCGAAGCUAAUACCAGUUAAUAUUUACAACCGCAUAAUUCAACAGUAAAAGACGGUAUUGCUAUCACUUAUGGAUGGGUCCGCGCUGCAUUAGCUAGUUGGUAGGGUAACGGCUUACCAAGGCAACGAUCAGUAGGGGUUCUGAGAGGAAGGUCCCCGACAUGGGAACUGAGACACGGUCCAAACGCCUAGGGGAGGCAGCAGUGAGGAAUAUUGGUCAAUGGGCGAGAGCCUGAACCAGCCAAGUAGCGUGCAGGAUGACGGCCCUAUGGGUUGUAAACUGCUUUUAUAAGGGAAUAAAGUGGGUCUCGUGAGACUUUUUGCAUGUACCUUAUGAAUAAGGACCGGCUAAUUCCGUG
rnacentral:rRNA from 1 species